rnacentral:rRNA from 1 species
ACCUUGAAAUACCACCCUUUAAUGUUUGAUGUUCUAACGUGGACCCGUAAUCCGGGUUGCGGACAGUGUCUGGUGGGUAGUUUGACUGGGGCGGUCUCCUCCUAAAGAGUAACGGAGGAGCACGAAGGUUGGCUAAUCCUGGUCGGACAUCAGGAGGUUAGUGCAAUGGCAUAAGCCAGCUUGACUGCGAGCGUGACGGCGCGAGCAGGUGCGAAAGCAGGUCAUAGUGAUCCGGUGGUUCUGAAUGGAAGGGCCAUCGCUCAACGGAUAAAAGGUACUCCGGGGAUAACAGGCUGAUACCGCCCAAGAGUUCAUAUCGACGGCGGUGUUUGGCACCUCGAUGUCGGCUCAUCACAUCCUGGGGCUGAAGUAGGUCCCAAGGGUAUGGCUGUUCGCCAUUUAAAGUGGUACGCGAGCUGGGUUUAGAACGUCGUGAGACAGUUCGGUCCCUAUCUGCCGUGGGCGCUGGAGAAUUGAGGGGGGCUGCUCCUAGUACGAGAGGACCGGAGUGGACGCAUCACUGGUGUUCGGGUUGUCAUGCCAAUGGCACUGCCCGGUAGCUAAAUGCGGAAGAGAUAAGUGCUGAAAGCAUCUAAGCACGAAACUUGCCCCGAGAUGAGUUCUCCCUGACUCCUUGAGAGUCCUGAAGGAACGUUGAAGACGACGACGUUGAUAGGCCGGGUGUGU